GUCGUUAAUUAUGAUUUUUUUUUUUUUUUUCAAGUAUAAUUACGGUUUGAAUCGCUUAUUUGCUACUUUUGUACCAAGUCAGAAAUAUGACUCUAUUCGUUUGGUGUGUUUGUGCUUUUGAUUUUGCCAUUUGAUAAGGGACUUUUCGUUAUGAAUUUUCCUCGGAGUUUUGUAUUUUUGGGAUUUUCUUUUUUUAUAUAUAUAAAUGAACUAGUUUCAAACUGAUAUAGUUAAGAAAACGUGAUUAAAAGUUUAUACCGGAAGUUUAAGAUUACUCAUGAAUACUUAAUUAUAUAGUCUUCCUAAAACUUUUUAUCACUGAUAUGUGUGUGUACCAUUUAGAUGUACAUGAUUGCUUUCCACGGCACCAAUUAG
rnacentral:lncRNA from 1 species